rnacentral:rRNA from 1 species
UACGUAGGGGGCUAGCGUUGUCCGGAAUCAUUGGGCGUAAAGAGCGUGUAGGCGGUCCGGUAAGUCCGCUGUGAAAGUCAAAGGCUCAACCUUUGAAAGCCGAUGGAUACUGUGAGGCUAGAGUCCGGAAGAGGCGAGUGGAAUUCCUGGUGUAGCGGUGGAAUGCGCAGAUAUCAGGAGGAACACCAAUAGCGAAGGCAGCUCGCUGGGACGGUACUGACGCUAAGGCGCGAAAGCGUGGGGAGCGAACAGG